UUCAUGUAUGCUUUCUGUUCUAGUUACAGUAGUGGUAGCCGUUAUUCAGUAUAGUUCCUACUUUCUUUCAGUUUAUUACUACUGUAUUCAGUAUAUCUGCCCAUUACCUUGUUUAUCUCUCCCUGAUCCGGUGAGUACUCCUCGCCUUCAUCGGCUUGCGGUACCUACUGGGAGGGGAGACAUGUUUACAUGUUCUCACCUCCCCCACAAUUUUUCAGGUAUUGCGGGCGGUGAGAUUGAGACGAGACGUGAGACACGUGGAUAGCUGUCGAUAGAACUUCUGACCCGGUUUGUAUAGUUUAGUUACUACCUUUGUUAUUUCUGUUGAUAUGACUUAGACAUCUAUAUGGUUCAGUAUUUUAUUAUGUUUAAUUAUUCAAGAUUUCAGUUGGUUUUCCGAAUAAGAUAAAGAUUUCUGAAUUUUUGUAAAAAGGAAAGAUUUUCUACCCCUCGUGGUAGCGUGUUUUCAAAAGAAAAGGUUUCCGUGUGGGAAACAGCUUUCAAAAGAGUUUUAUCGUGAUUUUCUUGACUUAGUAUUUCAAAAUAAGUUUUCGGGUAGGAAACGUUUUAACUGAUAGUUGUGGAUUUAUAUUCAGAUCUAUGUUUAUGAACCUAUGGUGAAUGGUGUAUGGAUAUUGAAUGUAUGAUGAUUUGUGUAUUCAUUUAAUUGUGGUUGUAUCCUGCUUUACAUCUUGUACUUGUGCGACGCCGUGCAAAUACAGGGGAGACUCUGUUCGUGUGAACAGUGGAAUCUUUGUAUUUGUGGCGAAUCUGGCAUACCCUAGGGUCAGGUUUUUAAAAAAAA
rnacentral:lncRNA from 1 species